rnacentral:rRNA from 1 species
GUAGGUGGCAAGUGUUGUCCGGAAUUAUUGGGCGUAAAGCGCGCGCAGGUGGGUUCUUUAAGUCUGAUGUGAAAGCCCCCGGGCUCAACCGGGGAGGGUCAUUGGAAACCGGGGAACUUGAGUGCAGGAGAGGAAAGUGGAAUUCCACGUGUAGCGGUGAAAUGCGUAGAUAUGUGGAGGAACACCAGUGGCGAAGGCGACUUUCUGGCCUGUAACUGACACUGAGGCGCGAAAGCGUGGGGAGCAAACAGGAUUAGAUACCCUGGUAGUCCACGCCGUAAACGAUGAGUGCUAAGUGUUGGGGGGUUUCCGCCCCUCAGUGCUGCAGCUAACGCAUUAAGCACUCCGCCUGGGGAGUACGGUCGCAAAGACUG